rnacentral:rRNA from 1 species
UCUUGCCUACGGGACGCAGCAGUGAGGAAUAUUGGUCAAUGGUCGGGAGACUGAACCAGCCAAGCCGCGUGAGGGAUGAAGGUACAGAGUAUCGUAAACCUCUUUUGUCAGGGAACAAAGGCGGGGACGUGUCCCCGGAUGAGUGUACCUGAAGAAAAAGCAUCGGCUAACCCCGUGCCAGCAGCCGCGGUAAUACGGAGGAUGCGAGCGUUAUCCGGAUUUAUUGGGUCUAAAGGGUGCGCAGGCGGUCUGUUAAGUCAGCGGUCAAAGCCCGGGGCUCAACCCCGGCCCGCCGCUGAAACUGG